rnacentral:rRNA from 2 species
GAGUUUGAUCAUGGCUCAGGACGAACGCUGGCGGCGUGCCUAAUACAUGCAAGUCGAACGAACUCUGGUAUUGAUUGGUGCUUGCAUCAUGAUUUACAUUUGAGUGAGUGGCGAACUGGUGAGUAACACGUGGGAAACCUGCCCAGAAGCGGGGGAUAACACCUGGAAACAGACGCUAAUACCGCAUAACAACUUGGACCGCAUGGUCCGAGUUUGAAAGAUGGCUUCGGCUAUCACUUCUGGAUGGUCCCGCGGCGUAUUAGCUAGAUGGUGAGGUAACGGCUCACCAUGGCAAUGAUACGUAGCCGACCUGAGAGGGUAAUCGGCCACAUUGGGACUGAGACACGGCCCAAACUCCUACGGGAGGCAGCAGUAGGGAAUCUUCCACAAUGGACGAAAGUCUGAUGGAGCAACGCCGCGUGAGUGAAGAAGGGUUUCGGCUCGUAAAACUCUGUUGUUAAAGAAGAACAUAUCUGAGAGUAACUGUUCAGGUAUUGACGGUAUUUAACCAGAAAGCCACGGCUAACUACGUGCCAGCAGCCGCGGUAAUACGUAGGUGGCAAGCGUUGUCCGGAUUUAUUGGGCGUAAAGCGAGCGCAGGCGGUUUUUUAAGUCUGAUGUGAAAGCCUUCGGCUCAACCGAAGAAGUGCAUCGGAAACUGGGAAACUUGAGUGCAGAAGAGGACAGUGGAACUCCAUGUGUAGCGGUGAAAUGCGUAGAUAUAUGGAAGAACACCAGUGGCGAAGGCGGCUGUCUGGUCUGUAACUGACGCUGAGGCUCGAAAGUAUGGGUAGCAAACAGGAUUAGAUACCCUGGUAGUCCAUACCGUAAACGAUGAAUGCUAAGUGUUGGAGGGUUUCCGCCCUUCAGUGCUGCAGCUAACGCAUUAAGCAUUCCGCCUGGGGAGUACGGCCGCAAGGCUGAAACUCAAAGGAAUUGACGGGGGCCCGCACAAGCGGUGGAGCAUGUGGUUUAAUUCGAAGCUACGCGAAGAACCUUACCAGGUCUUGACAUACUAUGAAAAUCUAAGAGAUUAGACGUUCCCUUCGGGGACAUGGAUACAGGUGGUGCAUGGUUGUCGUCAGCUCGUGUCGUGAGAUGUUGGGUUGAGUCCCGCAACGAGCGCAACCCUUAUUAUCAGUUGCCAGCAUUAAGUUGGGCACUCUGGUGAGACUGCCGGUGACAAACCGGAGGAAGGUGGGGAUGACGUCAAAUCAUCAUGCCCCUUAUGACCUGGGCUACACACGUGCUACAAUGGAUGGUACAACGAGUUGCGAACUCGCGAGAGUAAGCUAAUCUCUUAAAGCCAUUCUCAGUUCGGAUUGUAGGCUGCAACUCGCCUACAUGAAGUCGGAAUCGCUAGUAAUCGCGGAUCAGCAUGCCGCGGUGAAUACGUUCCCGGGCCUUGUACACACCGCCCGUCACACCAUGAGAGUUUGUAACACCCAAAGUCGGUGGGGUAACCUUUUAGGAACCAGCCGCCUAAGGUGGGACAGAUGAUUAGGGUGAAGUCGUAACAAGGUAACC